rnacentral:rRNA from 1 species
UACGUAGGGCGCGAGCGUUAUCCGGAAUUAUUGGGCGUAAAGAGCUCGUAGGCGGUAUGUCACGUCUGCUGUGAAAACUGGAGGCUCAACCUCCAGCCUGCAGUGGGUACGGGCAAACUAGAGUGCGGUAGGGGAGAUUGGAAUUCCUGGUGUAGCGGUGGAAUGCGCAGAUAUCAGGAGGAACACCGAUGGCGAAGGCAGAUCUCUGGGCCGUAACUGACGCUGAGGAGCGAAAGCAUGGGGAGCGAACAGG